UACGUAGGGGGCAAGCGUUGUCCGGAAUCAUUGGGCGUAAAGAGCGCGUAGGCGGCAUGACAAGUCACUUGUGAAAUCUCCGGGCUUAACUCGGAACGGCCAAGUGAUACUGUCAAGCUAGAGUGCAGAAAGGGCAAUCGGAAUUCUUGGUGUAGCGGUGAAAUGCGUAGAUAUCAAGAGGAACACCUGAGGCGAAGGCGGGUUGCUAGGCUGACACUGACGCUGAAGCGCGAAAGCCAGGGGAGCAAACGGG
rnacentral:rRNA from 1 species